rnacentral:rRNA from 1 species
GAUAUGAACUCUCCGAAAAGAUUACGCUGUUAUCCCUAAGGUAAGUUAAUCUUAUAAUCAAAAAUUCUGGAUCAAAAAAACAUAAAUUAAUGAAAAAAAAUAUUAAAAGUUAAAUAAAUUUUAAUGUCACCCCAACAAAACUUUAUAUUCUAAAAAAUUAUUUAAUAAACAAAAAAUAAAAAUUAAUAAAUAAAGUAAACUUCUAUAGGGUCUUCUCGUCCUAUAAAAAAAUUUUAGCUUUUUAACUAAAAAAUUAAAUUCAAAAUAAUUAAAAAAAGAAAGACUAUUUUUCAUCAAACCAUUCAUACUAGCCUUCAAUUAAAAGACAAAUGAUUAUGCUACCUUCGUACAGUUAAAAUACCGCAGCCUUUUAAUUCUAAAAAAUCAAUGGGCAGGCCUGAUCUUAAAUUAAAGUCAAAAGACC